GUGCUUGCUUCGGCAACACAUAUACUAAAAUCGGAAUGACACAGAGAUUAGCAUGGCCCCUGUGUAAGGAUGACAUGGAAAUUUGUGAAGCGUUCCUUAUUUUU